rfam:Aneurinibacillus sp. XH2, complete genome.
AGCAUACUACAACCGCUCGAUUAAGGUUUGCAAGCCGGCGUAUAUGCGCCGCACCGGAUAUCGGCGAGUCUUAGUAUAUAG